GGCCUGGUAGCACAAUGAUUAGUGCAUCUGCCAGCAGUCAGAAGAUGACGGCGGAAAAUGUAUGCAGAUGAUCCUGGUUCAAUUCCGGGUCAGGUCU